CAGCUCUCCGAGUGGUGUGGAUGUUUAUUGGGCCUAAAGCAUCCGUAGCUUGCUGAUCAAGUCCCCUGUUAAACCCAACGAAUCAAUCGUUGGAUUGCGGGGGAUACUGCUCGGCUAGGGGACGGGAGAGGCCGACGGUAUUUUCGGGGUAGGGGUGAAAUCCUAUAAUCCCGAGAGGACCACCAGUGGCGAAGGCUGUCGGCUAGAACGCGCCCAACGGUGAGGGAUGAAAGCUGGGGGAGCGAACCGGAUUAGAUACCCGGGUAGUCCCAGCUGUAAACGAUGCAGGCUAGGUGUUUGGGCGGCCACGCGCCGCUCUAGUGCCGCAGGGAAGCUGUUAAGCCUGCCGCCUGGGGAGUACGGCCGCAAGGCUG
rnacentral:rRNA from 1 species